ACCGAGACUAGAGUCACAUUUAGAUGUUACCCAUCAUCGGAGUGUGCUAUAGUCCUCGGAGAGAAAUUGCUCGCCUUUAUUCACUGACUAGGUUAUUCAGUAGCAGAGUCAGUCACCGGGUUAGUCACAAGU
ensembl:snoRNA